CAUGCGAGUCGCGCGAGAAUGUAGCAAUACAGGAAAGCGGCGAAAGGGAGAGGACAACAUGGGAAUCUGCCCGGGGGUCGAGGAUAGCGUCGGGAAACUGACGGUAAUACUCGAUAAUGUUUACGGACCAAAGGUUUACUGCCCCUGGAUGAGCCCAUGCCCCAUUAGCUAGUUGGCGGUGUAAUAGACCACCAAGGCGAUGAUGGGUAGCUGGUGUGAGAGCACGACCAGCCUCACUGGCACUGAGACACUGGCCAGACACCUACGGGUGGCUGCAGUCGAGAAUCUUCGGCAAUGGACGAAAGUCUGACCGAGCGACGCCGCGUGCGGGACGAAGGCCUUCGGGUUGUAAACCGCUGUCGAGGGGGAUUAAGGGCAACUUGAAAGAACCCUGGAGGAAGGAGAGGCUAAGCUCGUGCCAGCAGCCCGCGGUAAGACGAGCUCUCCAAACGUUAUUCGGUAUCACUGGGCUUAAAGAGUUCGUAGGCGGCUUUGCAGGUGGGGUGUGAAAGCCCUCGGCUCAACCGAGGAAUUGCGCCCCAAACCGUAAGGCUUGAGGGAUAUAGGGGUAAGCGGAACAGAUGGUGGAGCGGUGAAAUGCAUUGAUAUCAUCUGGAACACCGGUGGCGAAGGCGGCUUACUGGAUAUUUUCUGACGCUGAGGAACGAAAGCUAGGGUAGCGAACGGGAUUAGAUACCCCGGUAGUCCUAGCCGUAAACGAUGAGCACUAGUUUGAAGGACUCUCACA
rnacentral:rRNA from 1 species